rnacentral:rRNA from 1 species
GAUGAACGCUGGCGGCGUGCCUAAUACAUGCAAGUAGAACGCUGAAGGAAGGAGCUUGCUCUUUCCGGAUGAGUUGCGAACGGGUGAGUAACGCGUAGGUAACCUGCCUGGUAGCGGGGGAUAACUAUUGGAAACGAUAGCUAAUACCGCAUAACAGUAGAUGUUGCAUGAUAUCUACUUAAAAGGUGCAAUUGCACUACUACCAGAUGGACCUGCGUUGUAUUAGCUAGUUGGUGAGGUAACGGCUCACCAAGGCGACGAUACAUAGCCGACCUGAGAGGGUGAUCGGCCACACUGGGACUGAGACACGGCCCAGACUCCUACGGGAGGCAGCAGUAGGGAAUCUUCGGCAAUGGACGGAAGUCUGACCGAGCAACGCCGCGUGAGUGAAGAAGGUUUUCGGAUCGUAAAGCUCUGUUGUAAGAGAAGAACGAGUGUGAGAGUGGAAAGUUCACACUGUGACGGUAUCUUACCAGAAAGGGACGGCUAACUACGUG